rnacentral:rRNA from 4 species
UUGACCUCGGAUCAGU